GGUGUCUAUGGCGAUGAGGUUCCACCUGUUCCCAUCCCGAACACAGCAGUUAAGCUCAUCUGUGCCGACAAUACUUGGCGGGAAGCUGCCUGGGAAGAUAGGUCGAUGCCG
rnacentral:rRNA from 1 species